rnacentral:rRNA from 1 species
UACGUAGGGUGCGAGCGUUGUCCGGAAUUAUUGGGCGUAAAGAGCUCGUAGGCGGUUUGUCACGUCUGCUGUGAAAUCCCGAGGCUCAACCUCGGGCCUGCAGUGGGUACGGGCAGACUGGAGUGCGGUAGGGGAGAAUGGAAUUCCUGGUGUAGCGGUGAAAUGCGUUGAUAUCAUCAGGAACACCGGUGGCGAAGGCGGCUUUCUGGGUCUUACCUGACGCUGAGGAACGAAAGCCAGGGGAGCGAACGGG